AUACGGAGGAUGCAAGCGUUAUCCGGAUUUAUUGGGUUUAAAGGGUGCGUAGGCUGUUCGGAAAGUCAGGGGUGAAAGCCCGGCGCCUAACGCCGGAACUGCCUUUGAUACUUCCGAGCUGGAAUACGGAUGCCGUGGGAGGAAUGAGUAGUGUAGCGGUGAAAUGCAUAGAUAUUACUCCGAACACCGAUUGCGAAGGCAUCUCACGAAUCCGUCAUUGACGCUGAGGCACGAAAGCGUGGGGAUCAAACAGGAUUAGAUACCCUGGUAGUCCACGCAGUAAACGAUGAUGACUAACCGUCGGCGAUACACAGUCGGUGGCCAAGCGAAAGCGAUAAGUCAUCCACCUGGGGAGUACGUUCGCAAGAAUGAAACUCAAAGGAAUUGACGGGG
rnacentral:rRNA from 1 species